rnacentral:rRNA from 1 species
AGGGUUUGAUCCUGGCUCAGAACGAACGCUGGCGGCGUGGAUAAGGCAUGCAAGUCGAGGGAGAACCAGCUUCGGCUGGGGAGACCGGCGAAAGGGUGAGUAAUGCGUAGACAACCUACCCUCAAGACCGGAGUAACCGUUGGAAACGGCGGCUAAUACCGGAUGGUCCGGAGAGACCGCAUGGUCUUUUCGGUAAAAGGUUGCCUCUGAAUAUGCUUCUGCUUGAGGAGGGGUCUACGUCCUAUUAGCUUGUUGGUGAGGUAACGGCUCACCAAGGCUGUGAUGGGUAGCGGGGCUGAGAGGUUGGCCCGCCACACUGGGACUGAGACACUGCCCAGACUCCUACGGGAGGCUGCAGUCGAGAAUCUUCCGCAAUGGGCGCAAGCCUGACGGAGCGACGCCACGUGGGGGAUGAAGGCCUGUGGGUUGUAAACCCCUGACACCAGUUAAGAACCGGCAUCGGUCGAACAGGCCGGUGUCUUGACGAAAGCUGGAGAGGAAGCCACGGCUAACUACGUGCCAGCAGCCGCGGUAAUACGUAGGUGGCAAGCGUUGUUCGGAAUCACUGGGCAUAAAGGGUUCGUAGGCUUGAGGGUUGGAGAGGAGAGCGGAAUUCCUGGUGGAGCGGUGAAAUGCGUAGAUAUCAGGAGGAACGCCGGUGGCGAAAGCGGCUCUCUGGACAACUUCUGACGCUGAGGGACGAAAGCCAGGGGAGCGAACGGGAUUAGAUACCCCGGUAGUCCUGGCCGUAAACGAUGGGCACUAGACUGCCGGAUCCCCGAUGGUUCGGCGGUCGAAGCUAAUGUAUUAAGUGCCCCGCCUGGGGAGUACGGCCGCAAGGCUAAAACUCAAAGGAAUUGACGGGGGCUCACACAAGCGGUGGAGCAUGUUGCUUAAUUCGAAGCAACGCGAAGAACCUUACCUGGGUUUGACAUGCUGGUAGUACGACCCCGAAAGGGGAAGGACCCUAUGGGAGCCAGCACAGGUGUUGCAUGGCUGUCGUCAGCUCGUGCCGUGAGGUGUUGGGUUAAGUCCCUUAACGAGCGAAACCCUUGUCGUUAGUUGCCAGCGGGUAAUGCCGGGGACUCUAGCGAGACUGCCGGUGUUAAACCGGAGGAAGGUGGGGAUGACGUCAAGUCAGCAUGGCCCUUACGCCCAGGGCGGCAAACGUGCUACAAUGGCCGGUACAAUGCGCAGCGAGACCGUGAGGUGGAGCAAAUCGCAAAAAGCCGGUCCCAGUUCGGAUUGGAGAUUGCAAUUCAUCUCCAUGAAGUCGGAAUCGCUAGUAAUCGGAGGUCAGCCAUACUCCGGUGAAUAUGUUCCUGAGCCUUGUACACACCGCCCGUCAAGCCACGGGAGUCGGUAGCACCCGAAGUCGCCGACCCAACCUUUUGGGGAGGGAGGCGCCGACGGUGAGACUGAUGACUGGGACUAAGUCGUAACAAGGUA